UACGUAGGGGGCAAGCGUUGUCCGGAAUCAUUGGGCGUAAAGCGCGUGUAGGCGGCUGAGUAAGUCUGCUCUGAAAGCCCGGGGCUCAACCCCGGGAGGCGGGUGGAUACUGUCAAGCUCGAGUCCGGAAGAGGAGUGUGGAAUUCCUGGUGUAGCGGUGAAAUGCGUAGAGAUCGGAAGGAACGUCGAUGGCGAAGGCAGCCACCUGGCAUAAUACUGACGCUGAAGCGCGAAAGCGUGGGGAGCGAACAGG
rnacentral:rRNA from 1 species